rnacentral:rRNA from 1 species
AUACGGAAGGUCCGGGCGUUAUCCGGAUUUAUUGGGUUUAAAGGGAGCGCAGGCGGAGAUGCAAGCGUGACGUCAAAUUUCGGGGCUCAACCCCGUCUCGCGUCGCGAACUGCGUCCCUUGGUUGCGGGAAGGGGAGGCGGAACUCGUGGUGUAGCGGUGGAAUGCAUAGAUAUCACGAAGAACUCCGAUCGCGAAGGCAGCCUUCCGGCCCGUCAACGACGCUCAUGCUCGAAGGUGCGGGUAUCAAACAGGAUUAGAUACCCUGGUAGUCCGCACAGUAAACGAUGGACACCCGCGGUUUGGCCUGUAUGGCUGAGCCGCCAAGCGAAAGCGUUAAGUGUCCCACCUGGGGAGUACGCCGGCAACGGUGAAACUCAAAGGAAUUGACGGGG